rnacentral:snoRNA from 1 species
CUCCACAGUUACUGGCCUGAAACUGUUCAGGACUGUAGCAGUUGCAGUAUUCCCUCUGUGGAAGACAAACUGUUACGUAGUAUUAAGCACCUUCUCAGAUCCUCUAAGAAGGACUUUCUACGUAACAAACAAUG